GAGACGUUGCCCUUCGGGGUAUACCUCCCACCCUUUGUUUACCGUACCUUUGUUGCUUUGGCAGGCCCGUCUUCGGACCGCCGGCUUCGGCUGGUCUGCGCCUGCCAGAGGACCCAAAACUCUGUCUGUCUGUGUCGUCUGAGUACUAUAUAAUAGUUAAAACUUUCAACAACGGAUCUCUUGGUUCU
rnacentral:misc_RNA from 1 species